GAUUAUUGUUGAGUUCAGUACAGAUAAAUGCCAUGCUACUGAAAACUUAAAUAAGGACUGUAAAAUUACUUAGAGGUUUGAUAAUAGAAUUUUUAGAGGCUAACUUUGAUGGUUGCUAGUUUAAAUUAGAGAAGCACAUUUACAGGUAAUUGAUUGUGUUAACUGUUAUGUUGAUUCACUAACUGUGUCAAUAAGAACAAUUUUCUGCAGUCCAG
rnacentral:lncRNA from 1 species